AUUGAACGCUGGCGGCAGGCCUAACACAUGCAAGUCGAACGAGUGGCGGACGGGUGAGUAAUGUCUGGGAAACUGCCUGCUGGAGGGGGAUAACUACUGGAAACGGUAGCUAAUACCGCAUACCAUCGGAUGUUCCCAGAUGGGAUUAGCUAGUAGGUGGGGUAAAGGCUCACCUAGGCGACGAUCCCUAGCUGGGCUGAGAGGAUGACCAGCCACACUGGAACUGAGCCACGGUCCAGACUCCUACGGGAGGCAGCAGUGGGGAAGAGUGCACAAUGGGCGCAAGCCUGAUGCAGCCAUGCCGCGUGUAUGAAGAAGGCCUUCGGGGUGUAAAGUACUUUCAGCGGGGAGGCGUUACCCGCAGAAGAAGCACCGGCUAACUCCGUGCCAGCAGCCGCGGUAAUAC
rnacentral:rRNA from 1 species